GGUGGAGUGCCAGAGAGGAUGAAUGGGCCGCACUCGAAAUGCGGUAUACUGGAAACGGUAUCGGGGGUUCAAAUCCCUCCUCCACCG
rnacentral:tRNA from 1 species